GCGGCCGUGGUCUAGCCUGGAUAAGACACCAGCCUGCCACGCUGGGAAUCGAGGGUUCAAAUCCCUCCGGCCGCACCA
rnacentral:tRNA from 1 species